AUGGAUUCCGUGACGGUGUCGACGGCGGCGAAGCCCACCCUCCGCGUGGCGGCCUUCUGCGGCUCCCUCCGCAAGGACUCGUGGCACCGCGGCCUCAUCCGCGCCGCCGAGGAGCUGUGCGAGGAGUCCAUCCCGGGGCUGCGCAUCGACCACGUGGACAUCUCCGGCCUGCCCAUGGCCAACCCGGACCUGGAGACCGACGGCGGCGAGGGCUUCCCGCCGGCCGUCGAGGCGCUCCGCGACAGGGUCCGCGCCGCCGACUGCUUCCUCUUCGCCUCACCCGAGUACAACUACUCGGUCACGGCGUCCCUCAAGAACGCGCUGGACUGGGCGUCCAGGGGCAACAACUGCUGGGCGGACAGGGCGGCGGCGAUCGUGUGCGCGGGGGGCGACUUCGGCGGGGCCAGGGCGUCGCUCCACCUCCGCCAGGUCGGGAUCUUCCUCGACCUCCACUUCAUCAACAAGCCGGAGCUCCACAUCAGAGCGUUCGCGGAGCCGCCCAAGUUCGACGGCGAGGGCAACCUCAUCGACGCCGUGACCAGGGAGCGGCUCAAGAAGGUGCUCCUCUCGCUCCAGGCCUUCGCGCUCAGGCUCCAGCACAACAACAAGGACGACUGA
rnacentral:rRNA from 1 species